CAAAGUGGGAAAAAAUCUCAACCUUUUCCGACACGGUCAGGCGUCUCGUUCCGUGAACAGCGCUGAGACGGUGCUUACCGUGGAAACACCCCAGCGCUCGGAGGAGCGCUGUGCAUGCAAUUAGCUCGUGCACAGACUCCCUGCGAGUGGGAGCUGACGAAGCACACGGCAAGAUCGGACUUGCAGUCCUCAUCAGCAGUUCUGUUUCCCUGAUCUCACCCCAGCAGUCGCCCGUCCGAGGCCUUUGAUUUACUGAAAACCUUCCUCCUGCUCUGCAGUCUCCUCAGGGCUGCAGAGGGGGCCACCGACACUCUCCAGGACACCACUACAGGAAAGGAGAGCUGCAAAAUCUGUAACUCAGGCCUAGGAAGGGAGGCUCACUCCCAGGGUAAAGGUGGGCAAGAAGGUGGCAAAGAACCGAGGGGCCCUCUCAGAAAUUCAGAAACUUUGGAGACCUGCACCCUCAGCGUCUCCUGAAUUGGCAUCAGGACAAACACCACUCUGCACAGCAUUGUUAGGACUUUCUGAUUACUGACAAAACUUGGGACAAUAACACCCCAAAAAAUAGUCUGAAGACUCCCCCAGGAUAUGUCGCUAGUCUUCAAGGAAACUACAAAAGCUGACAUAUUAAAGUUUCCAGAUCAAGUCUUCCCUCUGUAUCCAGGAGAGAACGGUUCCAAGACUGCAUAGAACAAAAUCCAAAGACCCUCAAGUCCUCUGUAAACCAUCCCUACAUGACCGGUGACACCUUCUCAGUGUAAUGCCAUGUAGUGAAAUACAAAACAAGACAGAACAAAGCCAUUUGAGACAGUGCGUGAAAUUGGUACAGAACUUCACCGCAGGUUACCGGGAUAACAGAAUUAGGUGCUGUCUUUUCAGAAAUUUCAGGCAUGUGACUUCUAAUUUCUAUUGAACUUGUUCCGUGUGGCCUAAGCUCUGAGAUUGUCUUUUGCUACUCCAUCUUGACAUUGUCCUGCCUUCACUCCCUCCGCGGCGUCCCAGGGGCUUCCUGAAGUGGCUGCCAGUGCCUCAGUGUAGUGGACUGGACAGAGCACCUGGGUCCCUCCGAUCUGGGAUUCCUGGAGUGGCAGAGAGUCACCGGGCAGCAGUUCACAGAUGCUCCCCCGAGGGUGGCAUGGCUUCUUCUCCAGGACACUCUGGGCUCACUGAAUCUCUCUGGGUUGCUGGCAUGGAGCCUCUGGGCCAGAG